rnacentral:lncRNA from 1 species
UGAGUUAACACCCUUUAGAGCCACCUUGGAGUCAUCUCUGAAAGACACAAACCUGACAUCCACCUUGGUAAGUUUAUCAAAAAAAUUAUCAUUUCCACACAUAUGAUUACUCUUUCCAGUAUCUAAAUACCAUACCGAGUUGGUAGAAAUCUCCUCAUCCUUUGAUUUCAAGCAUGGUCCAACAUCUGAGUUCUCCAACUUCGUUUAUAAGCACUUCAUCAGCAUUGCUGAGUUCUUUGAAAACUCGGCACUCAACAGAACCCUAAUAUCUUCUUCAUCUUCUUGCUCUGUAAUUGUAGCACUUCCUCGAUCUGCAUUCGUUUGCAUAGUGACCAUGUUUGCCACACUUAAAACACUCAACUCAUGACUGGUCUCCAUGGCCUUUCCCUUGUCCUUGGUCACACCAAUUCUAUUGACCGGUUUGCUCUUCACUAUCAUUCUCAAAAUUACCUCGGCCAUGUCCACCUCGUCCUCGGCCUCUUCGUCCUUUACCUCUAAGACCUUGACUCUGAAUAUUCUGAGUUUCAUUUGAGUCAAAUUAUGCUUCUAGUACUUGAUUGUCGGGUUUCCUCUUUUUCUUCUUCUUCCUUAGUUUGUGGGCCUUUAAUGAUCCAACUAACUCCUCCACAGCGAGAUUUGACAAAUCCUUUUUCUCUUCAAUAGUAACCACGAUAUUUUCAAAAUUAUUCGUCAGAUUUCUCAAGAUAUUUUCUACAACUCGAUUAGGAGGCACCUCUUCUCUGUUCAUUCUGAGUUGGUUGACCAUCUUCUGCACUCAAGCUAUAAACUCAACAACUUUCUCAUUUUCAUCCAUCUUCAUAUGUCAAACUCUAUUUUUAGAGCUCGUACUCGGACCUGCCUCACACAUAUAUCUCCUUUAUAAGCCACCUCUAGAAUUUCCUAGGCUUUUUUUUUCUUGACUUUGCAUUAGCUCUUUUCUCGAACCCCAAUUCAUCCACUACAUUAUACAAAAAGUACAAAGUCAAUCUUAGGGUCACUAUUUGAUGUUCAUCCUCCGCGGGUUCAUUGUAUUUGUCCCCCGCAAUGUCACAUACAUCUUGAGAUCCAAGAAAAACCUUAUGUAGACACCAAUUAUUGUAAUUAAUCUUUAUUUACAAUUAUGGCAUACUCAUUCUAUUGACUACCUUUGACAUCUUUUUUCCUCAUAGUGUUUGACUUUCC